ACUCAAAUGAAUUGACGGGGGCCCGCACAAGCGGUGGAUCAUGUGGUUUAAUUCGAAGCAACGCGAAAAACCUUACCUAGGUUUGACAUCCUCUGACAUCCGUAGAGAUACGGCUUCUCUAGCAAUAGAGCAGAGAGACAGGUGCUGCAUGGCUGUCGUCAGCUCGUGUGGUGACAUGUUGGGUUAAGUCCCGCAACGAGCGCAACCCCUGUCCUUAGUUGCCAGCAUUCAGUUGGGCUCUCUAAGGAGACUGCCGUGGUGAACACGGAGGAAGGUGGGGAUGACGUCAAGUCCUCAUGGCCUUUAUAUCUAGGGCGACACACGUGAUACAAUGGUUGGUACAGAGGGAAGCGAAGAGGCGACUCGGAGCUAAUCUCAAAAAGCCAAUCUCAGUUCGGAUUGGAGUCUGCAACUCGACUCCAUGAAGUUGGAAUCGCUAGUAAUCGCGGAUCAGCACGCCGCGGUGAAUACGUUCCCGGGCCUUGUACACACCGCCCGU
rnacentral:rRNA from 1 species